rnacentral:lncRNA from 1 species
UCCCACAUGGUGCAAAAUGAGAUGGAGCCUCACUGUUCCUGGGGCUGAAGAAGCAGAACAUGAGGGAGGUGCAGCCUCAGAUGUACCUGAGCACAGCAGCAGCCUCUUCCAGAAGUUCAUUACACCUGAACUCGUGCCUUUUGGGCAGCCAGGGGACAGAAUCAUCUCCUUCCAGGACUCCAGUUUUCUGGAAGACAAAGAAGAGCUGAGCAGUGGUUUUGUGAAACAAUUAAGAAUUUCCUUAUCUUCUUAUAGUUGAGUUUUGCAAAAUCAUCUCUCUGGGUUUCAAUUUUCUGGAAUGUCUUUUGAGACUGUCACCAUUCCCAGAAAGGCCUUUGCACCAUCUAAUGACUUUUUAACCUCAUGAUACCUGUUCCUAUCUGCAGUUUUUCCACUGGGAGGCUCAUGGAUGUGGCUUUUUUACUGCAGAUCUUGGCAGGAGUCCUUUUGUGGAGGGUGAAACUGCCAUGGGCAGGGCACCUUCCACUAUCCCAGGUUUCUCUGAGUUCCAUCUAAACUGGCUUUGAACCUUUCCAGGGAAGGAGCAGCCACAGCUUCUCUGGGCAACCUGUGUCAGAGCCUCCCCACCCUCACAGGGAAGAAUUUCUUCCUAAUAUCUAAUCUAAACCUAAUAUCUAAUCAAAACCACUCACAUGGUCAGGAGGAGAGACAGCGCAUGCAGGAAAGGUCCUGCUGAGAUUGUGCAGAGGGUCAGAUUGUUUUGGAUGCAGGAGAAAAACAACUGCUUCUUCCUUCCUCUCGGAAACGAUUUUGCCUUGGCCCAGCUUGUGCAAAAUGGAAUUAGAGAGCCUUGCUGAGCACCGGGAGCUGGCGGGAGCCAUCACUCAACCAAUUCAUCAUCAUGGGAGCCUGGUAUCUAAUAAGCAGGCAUGAGAUGAUGACGACGCCUGGGUGUGAAGUCUGCUCCGAGGCCUUCAGUGCAAGUCCUUGGCACACCUCUUCAGACUCAGCCUUCCCCUCCCAUCCUGAAAGUUUCCAAAGUGAUGGGAGAGAAGCCGUGGUUGUGUUUCCCGGGCUGACACCUCCUGCUGAGCAUCCUUCCCUGCAGGAAUGGCAGUCCUGUCGCGUUACCCUGGGCGCGCGCCGCCGUGCCGCUGAUGGGACCAGACAGGAUCCGUCACUGUGCUGAUGUGUCUCCUCCACAAAAAAUCCCGAAUGACACCAGCAUCCGAGAGACGGGGAACAAAGGGGAAAACAAAUAAAAUUAUCUGCUCUGUUUGGUCCCCUCUGGUC